UCAUCCUUCAAGAUAGCCUUGUUCGUCGGACGUUAUAUCAUUGUUUCACCGUUGGAUUGGUCAGGAUUUUGGAUAUGUUGUUCAUCCAGAUGUUAUAUAAAUUCUGAACGGUUAAGAUCGGAAACAAACAUUCCUACCAGAAAUUGUACUUCCCGAACAAUAGGUCUCCAAUUUUCAGGAGAAGCAUUCACUCGACUUCUUAAGAGCUCGUAUAGUAGGAGCUUAAGGAGGGAUUGCAGGAGGGACACAACAACAACAAGGAAGAGCGAGUUGAGCUUCUGCAGCUGGUCCUUCAGAUUCACGCCAGGAGUAGCGUUUUAGGUCCUCUAGUCUCCUUUUGUAUGAUUGAAUAAGAAGAUGAACAUUAAUGUAUUUUGUCUUUAAGGAACUAAAUGACUUAAUAUGUAAUAGUACUCCUUUUACAUUAAGUGUCGGGACAUAAAAAUGUA